AUAAUUACCUGGAGAAGAGAUAGCAUGAUCACAAAAGUAGUUUUCCAGGGAGAGGCUUAUCCAUUCCUGACAUGCAGACCCUUGCCAUUUCCCCAAAUAUUGGAAACCUGAUGGCAUAAUUUGUGGUAUUUGGGGGGAGGAGCUGCAUUUGCACUCUAA
ensembl:snRNA U1 U1 spliceosomal RNA